rnacentral:rRNA from 1 species
GACGAACGCUGGCGGCGUGCCUAAUACAUGCAAGUAGGACGCAGUUGCGAACGCGUGAGUAACGCGUAGGUAACUACCUAUUAGAGGGGGAUAACUAUUGGAAACGCUAGCUAAUACCGCAUCCUCGUAGAUGGAUCUGCGGUGUAUUAGCUAGGAGGUAGGGUAAUGGGCUACCUAGGCAAGGAUACAGAGCCGACCUGGGGGGGUGGGUGGCCACACUGGGACUGGGACACGGCCCAGACGGCUACGGGAAGCGGCAGUAGGGAAACGUCGGCAAUGGGGGGAACCCUGACCGAGCAACGCGGCGUGAGUGAGGAAGGUUGUCGGGUCGUAAAGCUCUGUUGUUAAGGAGGCGGUACUUAACCAGAAAGGGACGGCUAACUACGUGCCAGCAGCCGCGGUAAUAC